UCUUUCUCUCUCUCUCUCUCUCGUGACUGGGGACAUAAUGUGACCAGUUGCUUCAUAAUCCUACCAGUGCUGAACCAAACAAGCUCUGGGCCCCACUGAGGUGUACAUUCUAAAAGGUUAGUGUGGCAGUUAGUCAUCAGUCACCUUGACUGGAUUUAGAAUCACCAUGGAAACAGACUUCUGGGGUACAUCUUAUGACUGUGUUUCCAGAGAGGUCAACUGAACAUGGAAGAUGUACUCUGAUUUCAGGGCUCAUGUUAGAGGGAGAGGAGAGGUUUGGUCACCUUGGAAUCUGGAACAGGCAGCUGGCCCCACAGCUGGUCAGGCAGCUAUGCAAGUGGGGAGCCUCUCUGAAAGCAAAAUUUAGAAGCCAGGAUAAAUGGGUCAGGUGGAAAACAGAUGACCACAACGACAAGCACUACUGAAGUGACACCUCUACUAUCUGUUCUGCCUCAAGGCCUGCUCAGCAAUGGUGCUCAUUUGACGGCCUCUCCGUCCUUCACAUGAUGACUUACUUCCCAACAUGGCCUCCCGGCUCCCGUCUGACUCUUGCCAGCAUUCUGGUGUGGCCACUGGCUUACAGUUACCACUUUCAGGACACAAAAGCAUGUCUCUUAUCUGCCAGGAGCUACUGAUCCCAAGAGACCUAGAUGUGUCCAGCUUCAAGCCUCCUCUCUUCUGCAGCCAGCCUGCAGGAGGCUACACGACGACCAAUGAUGCCGUGCCUCCUUAGGAAAUGCUUUCACUUUAGACACAUCUACUCCGAGUUCAGUAAUAAAGGGGACCGGGGAGACUUGGUAAAGUGUUUGCCACGCUAGCAUGAAGAACGGAGUUUGAUUCCCAGAAUCAAAUCAUGCAUGUAAAAAGCCAGAUGUGGUACCACGCGCCUGUAAUCUCAGAACCAGGGAUGUUGAGAGAGGUGGAUCCCUGGCACUUGCUGGCUAGCCAGCCUCACUGAAUACUUGAGCUCUUGGCAACGAAAAGACCUGGUCUCAAAGAGUAAGGUUUGACAAGGUAUGGCUCAAGGUUGACAUCUGGCCUCCACACAAACACAGACAUACCCGUGCACAUGCACCCACAUAUAUAGGAUCGCACACAAAGACAUAUUUCUAAAAGUGGCCUGGGGUAUGUAGAGGUCAGUGGUCAAGCACGUGAUUACCAUGAAUCACUGUCUGAGUCUAGUCUUCAGCAUCAAAUGCCAAGCGUGGUGGUACAAGCCAGAAUCCUAAGACUGGGGAGGCUGAGAGGGAAGGAUUGUUUUGAGUUUGAGGCUAGCCUAGGAGAUAAAUCUAUAUCUAUAUCUGUAUCUAUAUCUAUAUUUAUAUCUAUAUACUAUGACCCUGUCUCAAAAGGCUAAAACAAAAACCUCACAAACCAAAGUGAAGCCAAACGCUCUCCGCAGUGGUUCAGACCUGCGAUUCCAAGAACUAGGGUUUCGGACAUGGAACCAAGAGUGCAAAGUCAUCCUCAGCCACUCAGCAUGAGACCCCAGGUAGAAGGAGGAAGAGGUGGGGAAGGAUAGGGCUGUGAGUGAGAAUGUAUGAGGGGAAGGAGCUGGGCUGUAAGGAAAAGCUACAACUGAAUGAGCCCAUUUUCAUUCAGCGACUCUAGCCUGCCCCAUUCAGCAGUAUCACCCCUUCACCAUUAUUCUUUACCAUGGACAUAAACAAAACAAAGGGGCUGAGACAGCAAGCAGCACAGGGUCAAGACACUCACUAGCACGCCCAAGACAGUGGGUCUGGUUCCACCAAGCAGACAAAAAAACCCAUUCAGUGUCUCCAGCGCUUUCCCAGACUCCAGCUGCCUGUGGACCUUAGCCUUCCCAGCAUUGUUCACUUCAGGUCCUAGCCCUGUGUUUGAGAUGGCCCAUUUAUACAGCGAGUCCAUUCAUCUGUUCUCCCCGCUGUGGUCUCAGUUAUGAUUUCAACCGUUAUCCCAGAACGUCAACUAGAACACUUCUAAAAUAGACAGCGUAUAGGUUUUAAAUAGCAUCUCUUCUAAUACAUUGCUAUCUCGGCUACUGCCCCUAAUUUAUGAAUUAAACUGUAUCAGAGGCAUGCAUAGGAAAAGGACCACAGUACACAUAGGGUUUCUUAGUCUCCAUGAUUUCGGGCAUCUACUGAAGGGAUUGGAGAUCUUUGGGGUGGUCUUUUAAUUUUGUUUUGGUUUUUUUGUUUGUUUGUUUUUGUUUUGUUUUGUUUUUGUUUUUUUGUUUUGUUUGUUUGUUUGUUUGUUUGUUUGAGACAGAAUCUCAUGAAUCGCAGUCUGGGCUCAAGCUUGUUACAUAGCUGAAGGGUAACUUCUGAUCCUCCUGCCUGCAUCCUCGGAGUGCUGGGGGUGACAGGCGUGCAUCACCAGAUUUUGUCUGAACCCAAGGCUACAUGUUUGCUAGGUAAGUAUGCUAUCAACUGAGCUAUAUCCCUCAUUCCCUCCCGAGGUCUCAGGAUGCCCCAGAUAAAGCAAAUUUGUAGCACUCCCUUUCCCUGCCUUUUUCCUCCGUUAAAACCGGGAGCCGAUCAGACUGUUACUUGAACGACUAACUACACUGACUUUUUUUUAACAAUCCCCUUUUCAUUACUGACAUUAUUAAUUGUACAGAAAUGUACUUUGUAGACAUUUUACCCCUCCAAAGCUUUCCUUCUUAGUUCUUGGCCAAAGAGAGGUUGUCUUGUGCAUGCCCUCUUAGCCCCAUGCGCCUUAGUUCUCCUGCGCAUGCUCUCUUAGUCCCAUGCGCCUUAGUUCUCUUGCGCAUGCUUAGUCCCAUCCGGGUUGGCUCUGUGAGUGCAGAGGUGCCUUCUCUGGCUAUUUCCAUUUCGAGGGUGCAGCAGUACCUGUUUGUCACUUCUGUUUCACCAACACAUUCUUCUUGGCUGGUAGGAAUUAAGCAUUGAAUAGCAGCUCUUCGAUAAGGAAUUAGUUUGAAUUCAAGUUGUGUCAACCUUAUUUAAUGCUUGCUUCUCAGCAGAACGAUAUUGUCAGUUGAUUCUAAAUAAAUUGAAGUUAGCCAUUACCCCCUAUGUUAGGCCCCUACGCCACUAAUGUGGUCAUCUGUAUUGGGAAAACAUUAUUGAUGUUGCCAUCAAAGGUUCACAAGACAUGCUAGAAAUUGAUAAUACGUAGCCAGUGGAGAGAGGGCAGGAGCCGACGCUGGAGUCGGGAUACUCCAUUUGGUAUGGAUAGUGAAUACAGAGGCCAGCUUGGAGUAGGAAAGCAGGGCUGUGAAAGACCCGUUGUCCCACACCACGAUAAAAACGCAGGAAGCUUUUGCCAUGAAGUAGGUAAGUCUUAUUCUAGCGGGUUUUCCGUGAGGGCACUACACCUGCAAUGGGCCUCACAGGGGAGAAGACACAUGGUGUCAGCAGUAGAAUACAGAUGCCUAUGAAGCUAGACAGAGCUGAGAUCAACAAGACAUUGAGCCGCGGUGAAACAGGCAGUGCUCAGAGAUGCAUACCGCUGGAGCUAGACUGGCAUUCAACACACAAUGCCCAAAGGCAGAGGGAGGGUCAGAGCUUACAGCAGAAGCCCAGAAUUAGCAGGGAGCAUAAUCCGCGCAACCUUUAGGUGUUCAGAUGACCUGGCUGGGAGGGAGCAUCACGUAUUUUUUCCCCAGUUACAAUUGGCAUUUAAGUGCUGGGGUGAGGGAUGCUGUGGAGCUAGGCCCUUAAGUAGGCGGAGCUUCACAGGCAACCCAGCAGCUGGUUGCUACGGACAACUGGCCAGCUGCCUUACCGAAUGCUCCUGUGACAAUAUCGCUUCUGCUUUUAUUUUCACCCAAAUGUCCCUUAUCAGGCUUGCGGGUUUCUAGACAUGUCUGUGACUCUGUGCCUUCUGGGGUACCCUGCCCUGCCUGAAGGUGCCUCUUGUGUGUGAAUAAGCUGUAUACCUUUAUGCUGCCCCACUGCAACGACGGCUGAAACGGACCAGUUGUUCACUGUGUCCCAAGGAGUAGGUGAUUUAUAUAUACCCCCUUAUUUAAUCCCCAACCUCCUUCCUAGGUAGUUAUUAUUAUCCCCACUUCGAAUUAAGGAAAAUGAAAUUCAUAUGGUUUAUAUAAUCAGCCCAAGGUCACACAGCUGGAAUGCAAAAGAGCUUACACCUCAAUCCCCCCCUCCCCCGGGCUGCCUUCAGUUGCUUCUAAAGAUACUUUCUAUGCAUUUAUAUGGAAACAAACCCAGGCAGUUCUCACAGAUCUUUUUCUCAGCCACUUCAUUUUCUAAAUAGCGACAUAGCCGCCGAUCUGUGUUCUACCCUCUUUUAUCUCCGUCAUACCCAGGCCAGGACUAUGUAAAAGCAGAUUUUUAACAUCUGAUGGAUGAAUUGUGACAGUUAUUGGUUCCAUGCCUGGUGUGCUGGUGUAUCCCUUUAAUCCCAGCCCUUGGGAGGCAGAGGCAGAGAGAUUUCUGUGUAGGUCAGCCUGGUCUACAUAGUGAAUUUCAGGCUAGCCAGAGCUAAACAGUGAGACCCUGUCUUAAAAACAACAAUACCAACUAAACCAACCAACCAAACAACCAAACAAACAAGCCCAAAUGAUAACAACAACAAAAACCAGUGCACAUAAGAGUAGUGGGAGUGGGUUGGGGAUUUAGCUCAGUGGUAGAGCGCUUGCCUAGGAAGCGCAAGGCCCUGGGUUUGGUCCCCAGCUCCGAAAAAAAGAACCAAAAAAAAAAAAAAAAAAAAAAGAGUAGUGGGAGUUGGGAUAUGGCCUAGUUAGUGAAAUGCUUGUUGGCACUGGGACCUGAGUGUGACCCCUAACACCCACAUCAAAAUCUGUAUGUGAAGACACAAGUUCGUUAUCCCACCACGGGGGAGGUAUGAAAAGGGCUCUGGAGAGCUGGUUGGUGAGGCCAAGGCACAGUGAGAGACCUGGUCUCAAAACAAACAUAUAAACAAAUCACCACCACCACCACCACCACCAUCAUCAUCAACAACAACAAAAAAACAACAACAACCAUGCCCACCCCAGCGCUCCACCCCCAAGGACCUACCCUGGAUGGCUCCCGAGAAAUAACACCUGAGACUAACCUUUGACCUCUAUAAGCACAUGCACACAUAUGGAUAAACCUAUAUAGAUAGGAACACUCACACACACCUACACACACACACUCACGAACAUACUGUAGCGAUUUGGAUGAGAAUGGCUCCCAUAGGUUCAUAUAUUUGAAUGUUGGCUUCCCAAUUGGUCUAAUUGUUUGGGAAGGAUUAGGAGAUGCGGCCUUGUUAGAAGUCUGUCUCCGAGUGGAAGCCUUGAGGUUUCAAAAGGUUUGGUCCUUUCUUAAUGUGCUCCUUCUCUCUCUCUCUCUCUGCCUCCUGAUUGUGACUCAAGAUGUAAGCUCUCAGCUACUGCUGUGGCUCCAUGCCUGCCUGUCUGCUGCCAUGAUCCCCACCAUGACGGUCAUGAACCAUUCGCAAUCAUAAGCCCCCAAUCAACAAUUUCUUCCGUAAGCUGACUUGGUCAAGGUGUCUCAUCUCAUUAAUAAAAAAGUGACUAAGACAUGCAGGUACAAGACUCAUUAGCAUUUCUGUUUUAGCUUUAUAAAUACAUAAAGCCAACUAGGAAGACUUCUUUAUCAUAUAAAACACAGUCAAGAGUCACUUAAUGGUGGAGACAUGAUCCAAGAAAUGUCCUCAAGUGAUUUUGUUGUUUGAUAAACCGAGAGUACUCACAGAAGCCUACACUGUAGACACUACUAUUUACCUGGACUACAUGAUACACAUUAUAGUGUAUAUUAUAUAGACAACAUCUAUUAUGCCUGUUUUAUACAUACACACACACAUAUAAAACAGUAUAUUGCUCAAAGGACCAUGAUAAAUAAAACGUUACAUUAAAUCAAGCAUACGAAAAAGAUAUAAGGUGGCUGGAGAGAUGGCUCAGUGGUUGGGAGCAUUGACUGCUCUUCCAGAGGUCCUGAGUUCAAAUCCAAGCAACCCCAUGUUGGCUCACAACCAUCUGUAAUGAGAUCUGAUGCCCUCUUCUGGUGUGUCUGAAGACAGCUACAGUGUACUUAUAGAUAAUAAUUCUUUUUUAAAAAAAGAAAAAUAAAAAGUUAUGAGGCUGAUGCUGCUGUAACAUGGCAUAUCAUCGUACAUUCACCAUAUUUAUGGGUAGGAGUAUGAUCUCAAAUAAUAAAGUAACAGAACACACGGCACAAUAAGCACAGAAGCCCAUACUACAGUCCGUUAAAAUAACGGUCAGGUUAUUCCCUCACUGUUGGCUAUACUUUUAUAUGACCAGAGGUACGGUAGGCUCACUGACACCAACAUCACCCUAUCCGUGCUGAUAAUGACUCUGCGCCAGCAUCCCGAAAGCUAUGCCACCACUGAGCAACAAGAAUUUUUCAACCCCAUCAUGAUAUUAAGGGGCCAUUACCACAUAGACGUCCACUGCUGGCUAAAAUGUUGCAAUAGUUAGCAACACAUACAUUACAAGGAAGAAGUGGACCACAGGAAGACUACAGUUCCUAGGGGGACACGUCUGUCCUGAGUGCAGAUCAACAGGUGGAUACGUCCAAGAGAAUUGAGACACAGAAAUAAAGGUGAAAAAAUAUGGAAACAAAGCAAACCAUUGUCUUUGGAAGCCCAAAUGUGGAUAGCUUUUCUCAUAAGAUGUUUGCACUCAUCUAAACCAGAGGUUGCAAAACCCCUCCCCGUGCAGCCCAUAUGCAGCCCACACACCCUGUUUCUCUGUGCCUCAUAAACUGAGAAUUGUUUUCACAUUUUAAAAACUGGUGAAAACAUAUUAAAGAAGGAGCGAAACCAAAUGACAAGGGAGAAUGGUAUGAAAUUCAAAUUUUGUUAUGCAUACAUAGUUUUACUGAAACACAGCCAUACUUAUUCAACACUCUCUCUUUCCCACCCUCCCUUCCUUCCUUCUGUCCUUCUUCCAGCCAUCUUGCUAUUUAACCUAGUUUGGCCUUGAGGCCGAGAUUUUCCUGCCUUCCUCAGCCUCCCAAGUGCCUGGGGCUGGGACUGCAGGUGUGUGUGCCCUCUGCACUCAGCUCCAUUGAUAUAUUUUGAUGGCUGCUUUCUCGCCGCAGUGACAGCAUUGAGGAUUUGGAACAGGGGCAGAGACGCCUAAAAAUAUUUUCUAUCUCGUCUUUUGUAGACAAUGUUUGCUAAUCGCCGAUCAUAAUGAUGUUAGGAUGACAUAAGCCUUUCCGUAUUGCUAAAGCUACGGCUAGUAUUCUAGUUUCUAAAGUGUUCUUUAGGUUCUUUUCAUGCUUACUAAUGUGUAUGUGCAUGCCUCAUGUGUACCCGGACUCUUAGAGAUGAGAACAGGGUGCCAGAUGCCCUGGCAGUGGUGUCAAAGAUAGCUGUGAGCUGCCCGAGGUGGGCACUGUGAUUCAAAAUGGAGUUCUUUGGCUCCGCAGUUAGGAGCAAGUACCACUUCUCCAGCUCCACGUGGGAGAGUGAGAGCUGGGGAUGCCAUCUAGGAGGGUAGCAGUCUUCCUGCCUAGGUCAUCUUUCACUUUGAGGCUAGGAAUCUGAGUGGCUCUAGUGAUUUCUGGAAUUAUAGCAGCCCCCAAAUGGAUUCGCCAGAGGAGAGCCACUGACUCUGGAUGGGGUGAAACAAACUGUUCUUUUUACCUGCUAGGCCAUAAAGACAUACGAAAGGGAUUUAGGUGGCCCGGACACCGAAAUACUUGUCACAGCGCUCUGAGAAGGCAGUUAUUAGAAAGGACUGUGGUGGGGCUGGGGAUUUAGCUCAGUGGUAGAGCGCUUACCUAGGAAGCACAAGGCCCUGGGUUCGGUCCCCAGCUCCGAAAAAAAGAACCAAAAAAAAAAAAAAAAAAAAAAAAAAAGGACUGUGGUCCUCUGAGCAAGUGAUCUGCGCGUUAGCUCUCAAGUAAAACCAAGUACACAGGGUUAUCUCUUUCCUAAGUAAGAUUCCUUGUGGUGAACCUCAAAGGAGUCUUAUUUAUCAGCUCGCUCAGUUAUUUAUGAGGCAGAGCCAGGGCCUUCUACAUAGUAGGUGAGUUCUACUCCUGAACUUCCUCCUUAGCCUGUAUCCAAACAUAAAUUCUACAGUCUUUGUCUGUCUGUCUGUGUAUUUCUGUCACUCUCCCAACUUAACAGAAAUUUACUGGCUGUUUAUUACGUGUGAGACAUUGGACACACAAAAAUAUCUAAAAAAAAAAAAAAAAAACCAACUCUUAAAGACAUUAGGACUCAAGAGGAAGACUGCCGAGCCAUGCUAAUCUUUCGUGACAGUGCUGACCCCAGUCUCCUUUCGGUACCCCCCAGCACUACAGUCCCUUAGCUCUGUUUCUCCGGGAUCUCUUUGUGUCUCCAUUGCCAAUUUUCAUUUGUAUUCAACCUCUAUAUUGAACAUUUUUAAAAUUUUAUUUCAUCUUACUUUUGCUCACCCUAGGUGAUCUCCUAAGUUCGCAUACCAAGCUCCUGUAGCUCUUCUGAGCCUCAGACUCCUGUCUCCAGGUCUAUGGUAGACAUGGUCAUAGGGGCAGAACUUCUAAUUGUCUCCUCAGCCCUGUGGCUGCUGCGAGAUUCCCCAUCUUAGCCACUGAGACUGAUUACACAUCUGAUCACACAUCUAUUCUCUUCUAGGAUAAUAGAAGACUCUUCCAGUCCAUUGAGACAGUGACCAUGUCUCUUUCUACGUCACUCACCGUGUCCUGUCUGUCAUUAAAGCAUUUAAAGUAUUGCUGUAGGCCUCGGCUAUUUCUUGACCCCUUCAUGCCAUUUUCUUCACCUGGCAGCCAUCUUUUCUCACACAUGUCUUUGAAACAUCCUUCAGACUAGUCUCUCCACAUGUUCUUGGCCUGUUCACCUUGAUAUGUUCACCCAGACAACAUGUUUGAGACCAAAAAGGGGGGGCAGCAAAAUACAUGUAUUGUUCUUUGCCUAUUUAUUUUUUGUUACUUAGUAAUGUAUUGAGAUGCUCAGUUCCCAUCGCUAUGUCUGGGGAGUGUGCUGUGUACUGAAUGGCCAUGUGGAAGGGACAAUGUGACAUGUUUCCUGCCUCUGGAACAUAGCCAGCAGGGUGUGGUCCUCCAUGAGUGUUGACAGUGGCUGGGCAUGAAGUUUGUUUAUAUAUAUAUAUAAUAUUACUUCAUGUUCUUCCUUUGGGAAAUAUUUCCCUGCCAAGGUUAUUGGGGAAUGUCCUCUCUGCUAAGGUUAAUGACCCCAUGAUAAUUAGAGACAUAAGUGCAGAAAGUGAGGGUGUGUCUAAUGUCUCAGCAAAAUGAUAGAACACUAUGACCUUCAGGAUAUUCCUUAAGGCUGUAGAAACUAACUCUGAAAACAUGAGUUCAAAAAUAUAUAAUUUCUCAGGGGUUGGGGAUUUAGCUCAGUGGUAGAGCGCUUGCCUAGCAAGCGAAAAGCCCUGGGUUCAGUCCCCAGUUCCGAAAAAAAAAAAAAAAAAAAAAAAGAAAAGAAAAGAAAAGAAAAA